rfam:Ovis aries breed Texel chromosome 3, whole genome shotgun sequence.
UCCCUAGUGGCUUAGACAGUAAAGCGUCUGUCUGCAAUGCAGGAGACCCGGGUUCUAUCCCUGGGUUAGGAA